AGUGUCCUGGUCCUCUCGAUUCCUCAUGAAGAGCUGUCUAAUGGAUUCUUAAUUUCCCGUCACUGUGGCAGGGGCAUAGGCAUCAGGAUUUUCAUACACCUGUUCAUUCAUGCCUGCGUUUAUUCUGAACUUCCCGGCCACCGGAAGUCAGGAGGCCUGGGCCUAGAUGUGACCCCUGCCACCAACCCGCUGUGUCACUUUCAUCAGAUCUCGGCUGCACCCUGGGCUCACUUUGUUCCCGUGCCGAAGCGAAGGUGGGGGUGCUGGACCGACGGACAAGCUCCUCACCGCCAUCAGAAAGGCCUUGGCAAUGCGGUCCAGCUGGGGUCCGGGUGUGCUACAGGAUGCCCGACUCCAAGCUGGAGCAAAACUUGAGUCUUGGCUUCACAGCGAGCAGAGGACUGUCGGUUUCCUGCUGGCCUGUGGUCUGUGUCCAGCCCCAGCUGGCGUCUGGGAAUGGAGGGAAGCGGGACAGGAAGUGAAAUCUGGGUCACCAGCCCACCCAGCCUCCCCACUCCACCACCCACGUUCCCAGGCUCGCUCUGCCUGCCUCUGAACCGAGCCUCCUCACAGACCACGGCGGUGGCCCAGGCCCCGUGCAGUCUCUGCCCCCGUCGAGGGGAGGAGCAGGGAACAUGGGCAGGAGGUCGAGCCUACUUCCCAGAAGAGGCCGCGCAGCUCUUCCCGAGCGAACAGAAUGCAGAGAAGUCAGCGUUCCCAAGUUCAAGGCCAAGGCAGGGCGGAGGUCCCCGCAGAGGGAACUUCCUCAGGCCAAGGACCAGCAAAAUCUGGAAGAAUCUGCCUGGAAGCUGAUUUCCCUGGUUUCUGUCCCAGAGGUCAGCUCUGUAUCCCCACUCUGAUCCCAGUACAACAAAACAGGAUGGAUGAAUUCCCCUGAUGUUCUAGGUGCAGGCAAGUGUUUUCCACGGUAUGAACCUCUCUCUCCUACGGACUUGAUCUCACAAACUUCCCCCUUUCAGAGACAAGUGGUUUAUGAAGCUAAUUCAUACUAAUAUGUGAACAGCUGCCUGCUGACUUUCACCUGCCCUGUGUAUUUGACUAUGAACUCCUGGAGCACAGAGACAGUUUUAUUCCUCUUCGUGGUUGCAGUGCCAAGUACAAGGCUUGGUACAGAGUUGGUGUUGUGUGGAUAAUCAUAAAGAAGACAGCAAUAAUAAAUCAUAACAGCCAACAAUCACUAAAUGUUUUCUAAAUGCCACACAAUCAGGUAAGGGUUUUAUGUAUGUUACCUUAUCUCAUCUUCACUUUGUGUGGUAGGUACUGUACUUAUUCCCAUUUCACAGAGGAGGAAACUGAGGCUCGGGGAGGUGAAAUAACUUAUCCAGGAAUCUAAAGCGGUGGAGGUAAUGUUCAAAUCAAGGCAACCUGACUCCCAAAUGCACAUUCUUAAUGGAGUAAGCUAGGUAAUUCGGACCAAGGUUAAUUAGGCUCGAUCUGAAGUUCUUCUUUUAUAAAACACUCAACACCUCUUCCCAAAUGUCUCUA
rnacentral:lncRNA from 1 species